UUUUUUUUUUUUUUUUUGAGACGGAGCCUUGCUCUAUCACCCAGGCUGGAGUGCAGUGGCCGGAUCUCAGCUCACUGCAAGCUCCUCCUCUCGGGUUCACGUCUAUUCUCCUGCCUCAGCCUCCCGAGUAGCUGGGACUACAGGCACCCGCACCUCGCCCGGCUAGUUUUUUGUAUUUUUUAGUAGAAACGGGGUUUCACCGUGUUAGCCAGGAUGGUCUCGAUCUCCUGACCUCGUGAUCCGCCCAUCUCGGCCUCCCAAAGUGCUGGGAUUACAGGCUUGAGCCACCGCGCCCGGCCAAAUUUAUCCAUUUCUUGUAGGUUAUCCAAUUUGUUGGCAUAUAAUUAUUCUUAAGUGUUCCUUAUGACCCUUUCUAUUUCUGCAGCAUUCAUUGUAAUGCCUCUUCAUUCAUUUUUUAUUUGUGUUUUCACUCUUUUUUUCUUCAUUCUUUUCUUUUCUUUUUCUUUUGAGACAGGGUCUUGUUCUGUUGCCUAGGCUGGAGUGCAGUGGCACAGCCAUGGCUCACUGUAGCCUUGACUUCCCAGGCUCAAGUAACCCUCCCACUUCAGAGGACCAACAUGGUGAGAGUAGCUGAGACUACAGGCGUAUACCAUCACACUGGUUCAUUUUUGUAUUUCAGUUGAGAUGGGGUUUUGCCAUAUUGGCCAUGCUGGUCUUGAACUCCUGACCUCAGGUGAUCUGCCCACCUUGGCCUCCUAAAGUGCUGGGAUUACAGGUGUGAGCCACUGAGCCCAGCCUUUUUUUCCUUAGACUAGCUAAGUAUUUGUUGAUUUUAUCUUUUCAAAAAAUCAACUCUUGGUUUUGUCAAUUUUCUUCUAUUGUUUUCUUUUCUUUAUCUGAUUUAUUUUUGCUCUAAUCUUUAUGAUGCCUUUUGCUACCAUUUGGCUUAAUUUGUUUUCUAAUUUGUUAAGGUGUGAAGUUAGAUCAUUUAUUUGAGAUUUGCUUUUUGAAUGUAGACGUUUAUUGCUCUAAAGCUUCCUCUUAGUAUUGCUUCUACUGCAUCUCAUAAGUUUUGGUAUUUUGUGUUAUCAUUUUUGUUUGUUUGCAGAUAGUUUUAAAAUUUCCUUUUGAUUUCUUCUCUUACCCAGUGGUUAUUCAAGAAUGUGUUUUUUAGUUUCCGUGUAAAUGUGGAUCUUCUCAUUUUAUUGGUUAUUGAUUUUUAUUUCAUUCCAUUUUAAUGGAAAGAGAUAGAUAUUUGGAAUGACUUGUAUCUGCUUAUGUUUGCUACAACUUGUUUUGUGACCUGACAUGUGAUCUAUCCUGGAGAAUGUUCUCUGUGCUCUUGAAAAGAAUAUUCUUCUACUGUUGGGUGAAAAUUUCUGUAUAUAUUUGUUGGGUCCAUUUGGUCUAUCAUGUUCAAAUCAGCUGUUUUUUUAAUUGAUUUUUUGCCUACAUGUUCUAUUCAUUACUGAAAGUGGGGGUAGUGAGGUCUACUAAUUUAUUGUAUUGCUGUCAAUUUCUCCCUUCAAAUCUAUCAAUAUUUGU
rnacentral:lncRNA from 1 species